CAUCGACUAUUCUGUGCCACAGAUCCAGUUCGCUGCAGCACAGAGUGAUGAUGAGAUGGUGGAAGAACAACAGAGACAAUUUACGGACCGUUAACAUGUGCAACUUAGAAGUAGUCAGAGGUAACUGGAUGGAGUUCAGUCAGGUUAAAUGCACGGUUGAUUGGAUUAUAUCUGAAGAUCGUAUGCUAUUCGUGACAACUCUACUAGACUCCAAAUUUCUCGUCCAUGAGGGAGUAUCUCAAAAGUAAAUGAAACAACUAAACUUAACACUUUUUCCCUAAAACUGACUGACAUGGGAAACAUUAAAGUUGGACUGACACCAGCUAAUCAGUCUGAAGGAAUCACAGAACAAGAAGGGAGACCACUGAGGAGAAGUUCUAUGAGUUCACGGGUGACCUCAGCUGUCAAGUUCCUGGAUGUGGGGAUGGAAAUUGAAGAGGAACUCACAAGCCUCCUGCUGGCACUAGACAGAGAGAAAAUAAUCUGCAUUGUAGAACAUCUGAAGGACGUUAUUGGUGUACAACAAAAAAGUGAUCUUUUGUUUGUGGAGGCGGAAGAUCUCAAACCCUUUCUCACACCAAUUCAAAUACGUAAACUACUUCUUGCAUUUAAAGGAGAUGGCAACAGACCAGAGAACCUGAAUGACACCAUUACUCUGGAGCCUUGCCCUGCUGCAUCAGCUGAAACAUCAAGCCAUCCACCUCACCCCUCCUCCUCCACGUCCACCACUAUGUACAACCAUUACUCCAGCUCUUGGGUCUCACACUUACAGAUUCCUUGGGAAAGAUUUCCACUCCGACUGUCGCAUGCAAUCACAAGAGGGGACAGAGCUCAUCCAGAGGACAGGAGAAGUAUGGUUAGAAUUGUUGUGGAGGCCAUGCAAGUUCUCUGCAGAAACCUUAAACGUGCAUCUUGUGAAGAAGUUGCUAAAAUCAUUGUAAACAGAUACCCUCAAACAUUUGCAGAUUUUACUGAAAAGGGAGAAAGACUGGGUUGUGGACAUUAUUCACUACUAAGAAGCAUCAAAUCUAGAGUUGAACAUGUUAAUCGAGAUAAUACAACACAUAGACUUCGUCAAACAAAGAGAACCAGGAAUGAGGAAGACUGAAGUCCCAACAGUAAUGCAACCUCACCUAAAAAAGUUAGAUGCCUUGUUGAUAGCUAUGGUUGUAUAAAUUGGCAGCCAGUUGAACUUCCUGAGGGGGAAAUGCCAGCUUCUUUAGAGGAAAAGAAGCACAUCUUGUUAACAAUUUUUAAUUCAGAAGGACCUGGAGCUGUGGAGAGACCUGAUGUGGAUGACUUCAUGUGCCUCACAUAUAUUUCUCAGCGGCAGCUUAUCAACAGUUGUCCCUCACUUUCAGUAGCUGAAAUUCAGGAGCAGUGGCCAUUCUUGUUUACUCGGAAAGGUCUUUCGAACCACUUUUACAAACUCACAGGCAUCGAUAUCAGUGAGCACUUAAGUCAGGCCCUCAUAACCAAAGGCAGAAGGAUUAUUAACUAUUUCUCCAGCCAGAAGCUCAAAUGGAACCUUGGUAUAAGGACACUCAUCC